rnacentral:lncRNA from 1 species
UUUUGCUUCUAUUGUGUAUUAAGUUUUGAGUAGUAGCAGAAGUAGCGCGUGCAGUUUGAAUAGUGCAAAUGUGUGAUAUAAUUGAGAUAGCAAGAUAUACCAGUAACAUAAGAAGCUAUGUGAAGACUAAGAAUAGACAGCAGCACAUUUUAUUAUCAAAUAAAUUGGCUUUCAUGAACAUGUUACCGGUAAAACUAAAGUUCCUAUUUUGGAGAAAAUUAGUGAACUGGAGUUAAGUGUUAGAUGAAGAGUGUUCCAUCCAAUUCCAUCAGUCAUGAAAAUCUAUCCAGAAAAUCAUGAAAGAAUUUGGAAAUUCUUAUCAAUAGGUGAAAUUCCGACAAAAGCAUUAUUGGUGGAAAUUGCCAGGGCUAAUUAGCUCUACUUCUGCUAAGUGUGUGGUUUCGCCAUUUUCUCUGAAAACAUCACAGAAUAUAGGAGACAACAGUAUAAGUGUAAAAGCAACAGUAUAUAGUAAUAGCAACAGUAUUUUGGCAAACACUCGAAUGGAUUAAUUUUAAGCUACUACCAUCAUAAGCAGUCCAAGGAUCAGAAGUUCAAGAAAAAGUUAUACAGUUCAUCCUCAAGGAAAAUAAAAUAAUAUAAUUUUUUUUAUAUAGUUACGUUUUUAAUAAUAAAUAUAACUAACAUUUAAAUCUGUGUUUUAAUACUGCUAAGCAUAUAUUCAUAGACAACAUGUCGCACCUUCAAUCAUAAAGUGACACAACAGGAAUUAUUAUUUUGACUUAGGUCUCUGGAUGAUUGAAGGUGCUGUGUGUAUUUUCAAGUAAAUACAAAACAAUAAUAUAGCUUCCAAUUAAAAAAAUAUACAUAUAUUCGAUAAUUAACUAUAUCUCCUAUAUAUUGAUCAAUCCCGUUUGACAAAGAAAUCAUUCUUCCAGUGUAGGAAUUCACGAGUUAUACACAGGUAGAGUCAAAAUUUUUACGCUCCAAGCAUUUCUAUUAUUGCCUAAUUAACAUUUUAAACUAUGUUUUAAAAAGAAUCUCCAAAUCUAAAAGAGUAAAUAAUUAAAUUCUUCUGCCCUGCGAUCUUUUGUAAAGGACGUGGGUCUUAAAGGCCUAAGAAUGGGAAUGGCGCACAAAGUAAAGGAUUUCAUGUGAAAAUUGUGGCAUGUACGAAGUUUAGGCUUUGUAUUGCUAACUAAGUUUUGAAUUGCUGGCAUCCUGUUACCUGAUCUACAAGAGAAACCUCCGUUAAAUUCUUGUAACUAUAUCAUAACCCUCUCUUCAAGUUUGAAUGUUUUAAGUUUCACAUAACAGCCAGCCUCUUAUAUUUAAAAAGCAAUAUACUUUAAAGAAAAUGGCGUAUGUAAAUUCUUGUACGCUUAGUAAUAAACAAUAAAAUAAUUUAGGUCUAUAAGUUCUAACAUGUUUCAUAAAACAAAAAAAAAUCUACUAAGUAUAAGAAAUAUAUUUACGCUUUAAUAUUUAAGUAUACAAAUUUCUUCAAAAUUCACAACGCUUGAAAAAUGUCUGUAUGCUUAUGAUGUUUAUAUAUUAUAUAUUGUAAACGGUUGGUUAUACACUUUAACAAGUUAAAGCAGAGAACAAAAUGAAAAGCAAAAAAGAAGAAUUUGUAGUUAUUGGAGUUACCUCCCAACUAUAUUUCCGUAUUAGCUAGUGAGAAACUCCAAAACAGCUGUGGUUUCUAUUUGAAGCAAAAUUUCAAAAAAAAUCAGUUCUUUUCAGAACCAUAAAUUAUUUAAUAAAAAGAAAUACUUAUAAUAUUAUUUGUGUUAAAAAUGAAUACUUCAAAAUAAAGAACUCGUACUAGGAUAAUACCCUUUUGAAUUUCCACAGUAUAUUAAACAAAUCUACCACAUUGUCUUAAUAAACAGUUCUCUCAUCUGCUGCUGGUUAAAGAAACAAGUGUAUAGAUACAGAUAAUAAAGAAUGUUACCUGUGGAACAGAGAUUAAAAUAAGUUUUUUGAUGUAUUGUGGUUCAAUAUUUGUAGUAUUCUAAUUUUCAAAUAUAUAAACUUAAUCUUUUAAAAGUUAUAUCCCUUACAGUAAGAAUAAAAAGAAAACAGGAAAUUACAGCAUGCAAUUUAAUAAAGUUUAAAUAGAGUUGAAAAUAAAUGAGAAUAACAGCAAUUAGAUUUAAAGAAUUUUUUUUCAAUGCUAUACACCGAAAACCAUUGAAAUUACUUAUAAAGAUGAAAUGUUUUAUUAGUUGAGUUUAAAAAGACGUAAAAUUUCUUUUACUGAAAAUUUAAUAUCACCUUCAGUUCCCAGGUAAUUCUAUCAAGAUCUUUCGAGUAAGGCCCCUUCCCAGUUUACGAGACACUCCAAAAUAAGUACUCUCUAAUUUAAUUAACUUUCUAAAGUUCGGUGUGAGUAAAACUAGCUGCAAUACUAUCUAUAUAACACGCAAAUAACAGCUAUUAGUUAAGUCACGUAAUGCCAUGUCUUGGAGGAAACCCAUUAUAGUUAAUGUUUAUAAAGUAAAAAGGCGUGCACCGCCAAAGAAAAACAACGAAAGCAGAGGAUUUUCCGAAUUCCGAGACGAUAUUAAAACUAACGACUUUCAGCUGCUCUGUACAUGUAAGUAACAAUCAUUUUUGAAAACUUACGCAAGUUUUGUCACUAUUAUAAUGGUACAGUAGGUUUUUGAAUAUUCACUGCUUAACUAUCUUUUGCAAUUAUUUUCAAAAUGAAAAAAUAAAAGUUAAAAACCAUACAAUUUAAUAGUGUAUACUUUACAUGUAACUGAGUAGUCGAAAAUAUAUAUUUUUCACACUCCAAAAAUCUAUUUACUUGAAUACCCCAGCCACUUCUAGUGGAGAGUAAAAAACAUCAAAAGUCCCAAUAUCUAAAACGCCUCAAGCGAUAAUAGCAGAUUCAAGGAUCUUGUAUUUAUUUUCAAACUCCCUGUAGUAUUUGAUAUUUACAAUAAACCGAAGUAUCUAUGCUUUAUGUACAAAUGUGUACGUGUAUAUAAAUAGAACUAUAAAAGACUCUCUAAGAAUUUAUUUCAUGUUUUCUUUACAAGUGAAUUUCUAUACAUAUUUUUUGUGUAAAAUUCUGUUAGGGAAUUGAAUCCGUAUCCUCUUAGUACUAAAAUUUCAGUGUUUUCGGAGUCGGAAUUAACUAUCUCUGCGCUGUGGUUGUCAUUUUGUGUAUCUGC